UCUACACCAGCAUUUUGCUCUAGGAGCAGAGUCGGGAGUUUGUAGGAGUUGCUCUGUUCCCAUACGGCCCACCAGGUGGCUGUAGGGUAUCACGGAUGCACCCAGCACGCCGGCCUGGGCGGGAGAAGGCCGCCACAGCCAGGUGCCACAGAGCCCCCGUGAGUUCCUACGGGGACAAGAGAGUGGAUGUGGGCCCCUGAGACUUCCCUGGAGGGGCCUGCUCACGCCGUGGGGUGUCUCCCCGGCCAGGAGCCAGCUGUCCUGCGCACCUCACCUGCUCUCUAGCUCGCUCGCUCGCUUGCUCGGUCUUGUCUCUCUCUGUCUCUCUCGUGCUUCAGGGCCAGCUUCGGAAGGCAAGCACGGUCAUGGUCUCCACUUUUCAAGUGAUGCCCCUGAGACGCCAUGAGAUUAGCUGCACGUCUGCCCCCAGCCUCCCUGUAGGCGACAUCUUACCACGAGCAUCCUGCUUGGUCACCACACCUGUGACCCCGCGGCCCCGCAGGGAAGAGGGGAAGCACUACACGGCCAGCCACGGGCGACAGGAUUGAGGGGAAAUCAUGGCUUCUGGAACUUCCGGCGAGUUACCUGCCGCAUCUGAGAAAGCAAUAGAUGGAGUUUGCUCAUAUCUGGGAGGACAUCCUCCCCCCACGGCCAGUCACGAGCUCUGAGCGUGGUGUCGCUGAGAUCACUUACAAAGAGACGUGCUUCUGCCCAGUAGCUGGUGCUGCUGUGGGAUGGACGCCGGAAGAAACGGAAGUGCAUGGAUUCACGGUGAAACGUCGUAAGGAAUCAGGUUCCUAUGCCUCCGCGUGGAAUGUUCCCCCCAGCCAUGGCACCUGGAAAACUCCUACAGCACCGUUAAAACCCUGCAGAGACAUCACCUCCUCUGAGAAGAAUUCCACGACACUUGGCCUCCAGGACCAGUUCUGUGCUUGGCACGUCAUGACCGCCUCCGUUGUACCUGUGAGAUGCUUCAGGGGGACAAGCUGCGCCCAUUGGACAGCCCAGGAUGGUUAAUUAACUUGCCCAGGAUUGCACAGGGAGACUAGAAUUAAUGUAAUACAGACAACUCUGAAACUCUUCUGAUGAUAAGCCACCAUGACUAGAAAGGUGAGAAAAAUUUGGCCCUUGCCCAGCGGAAACUAUUGAGCGUUGCGGAAGGAGAUCUGCAGUAUAGUUAGGUAGCUGGUGAGAUUACCAUCGAGACCCCAGAGGUGGUCCCAGGAGGGCGUGUCUCCAGGAUUCUCCAGGCCUGGCCGAUAGAAAGGCUCUGAAGGCGUUAGCUGACCCUGACGUGGUCCCCGUGAGAUAGACGCCCUUUGGCAGAUGAGGAAGCCAGCCUGGAGGAUCACAGCAAUUCUAGAGAAGAGACUAAAAGGAUCGGUGUGUGGCGGGACGGGACAGUAGUACAAGUUCAGACUCUAGGGGCUGUGCUGGAUAUGUACAAGGAAUUUCCUUCCCACGUGGUCCUCACGCAGUGCC